GCACUGAUGAAAUCAAUCGGUUAUUGGUAGCAGGCUUCAAACCUGUUGGUCGUUAACUCGGCAGCGGUUCAACUCCGCCUUCGGUGC
rfam:Smittium culicis strain GSMNP scaffold-1191, whole genome shotgun sequence.